AUCCUCGUCAUCUUUUUUGCCAAAUCGGGCCCUCAAAACGCGGCUGAUGGAACUCACUAAUGGCAACAAAAAGAAUGGUACAAAAAUGGCACAGGAAAAGUUUUCACAUGAGGCAGCAGCGUUUUGGAGAAAAUGUUAUGAACUGACGGAGCACUGAAGCCACAUUUCAACAGGACAUGUUACAUACCCCCACUCACCCUGGGCUUGCUGCCCCCUAUGGCCCCCGGACGGAUCGAGCCGGUCUCCUGGUACCGGCACAGGAUCUUGG